AUUGAACGCUGGCGGCAUGCCUUACACAUGCAAGUCGAACGGCAGCACGGGAGCAAUCCUGGUGGCGAGUGGCGAACGGGUGAGUAAUAUAUCGGAACGUGCCCAGUCGUGGGGGAUAACGCAGCGAAAGCUGUGCUAAUACCGCAUACGAUCUAUGGAUGAAAGCGGGGGAUCGCAAGACCUCGCGCGAUUGGAGCGGCCGAUAUCAGAUUAGGUAGUUGGUGGGGUAAAGGCUCACCAAGCCGACGAUCUGUAGCUGGUCUGAGAGGACGACCAGCCACACUGGAACUGAGACACGGUCCAGACUCCUACGGGAGGCAGCAGUGGGGAAUUUUGGACAAUGGGCGCAAGCCUGAUCCAGCAAUGCCGCGUGCAGGAUGAAGGCCUUCGGGUUGUAAACUGCUUUUGUACGGAACGAAAGGGCUCUGGUUAAUACCUGGGGCAUAUGACGGUACCGUAAGAAUAAGCACCGGCUAACUACGUGCCAGCAGCCGCCGUAA
rnacentral:rRNA from 1 species